AUGCUCUUCCCCCUCAUCUCCUAUGACUCGUCACUGCCGGAUGAGACACAGGUGACCUUGGGUUGUCUGGCCAAUGACUUUGUGCCCAUACCCAUCACCUUCUCCUGGACAUUCAAGAACAGCUCAAGCAUCAGCAGCCAGAACAUCCACAGUUUCCCCGAGGUCUUCACAGGUAGCAAGUGCAUGGCCACAUCCCAAGUGCUGUUGCCAUCUGCGUCCAUCCUGCAAGACACCAAUGAUUAUUUGGUAUGCCACGCCAAGCACAGCGCAGGAAACAGGGAUGUGAAGGUGUUCCUGCCAGUCAACAUAGAGCUGCCCCCGAAUGUGAGUGUCUUCAUCCCGCCCCACAACUCCUUCUCCAGCAACAGCCCACACACAUCUCAGCUCAUCUGCCAGGCCUCAGGCUUCAGACCCCGCACCAUCGCCAUGUCCUGGUUACACGAUGGCCGUCCGGUGCAGCCCAGCCUGAUGUCAACCAGCGCAGUGGAGGCUGAGCCCCAGGGUUCAGAGCCCACAACCUUCAGGGUCAUCAGCAGACUAUCUAUCGCUGAGUGUGACUGGCUCAGCCAGAGCGUAUUCACCUGCCAGGCGCUACACAAGGGCCUCGCUUUUCAGAAGAAUGUGUCAUACUCCUGCACAGGAGCCUGCACCUCCACGGGCAUCAGCGUCUUCCUGCUGCCCCCCUCCUUCGCCAGCAUCUUCCUCACCCAGUCUGCCCAGCUGACCUGCCUGGUCACGGGCCUGACCACCUACAACAGCCUGGAGAUCUCGUGGAGCCGCCAGAAUGGGGAGGCCCUGCAGACACAUGUCAACAUCUCCGAGAGUCACCCCAACUCCACCUUCAGUGCCAAGGGCUACGCCAGCGUCUGCCGCGAGGAAUGGGAGUCAGGGGAGAAGUUCACGUGCACUGUGCAGCACGCCGAUCUGCCCUCCCCGCUAAAGCAGAGCUUCUCCCGGUCCAAGGAUGUGGUGAAGCACCAGCCUUCUGUGUUCGUGCUGCCACCUGCCCAGGAGCAGCUGAAACUGCGCGAGUCAGCCUCCAUCAGCUGCCUAGUGAAGGACUUCUCACCGCCCGAUGUCUUUGUCCAGUGGCAGCAUCACGGGCAGCCCGUGGACCCUGAGCACUAUGUGACCAGUGCCCCUACACCUGAGCCCCAGAACUCCGGCUUCUACUUUGUCUACAGCAUCCUGACAGUGAGCGAGAAGGACUGGAGCUCUGGAGAGUCCUUCUCCUGCAUCGUGGGCCAUGAGGCCCUGCCCCUGUCAGUGACUGAGAAGGCCGUGGACAAGUCGUCCGGUAAACCCACCCUGUACAAUGUGUCUCUCAUUCUGUCUGACACUGCCAACACCUGCUUCUGA